UAUGAUGAAGUAGAGCUCCUUGAAGUCCAAUAGAAGAUCCGAGUGGGAAGAUAGAGCUGCUGGUUUAUGGAUCCCUCAAAGUCCUAUCUAUGUGUUUGUAUAGACUUUGUGGCUUGCAUACACCAGGAGCUUUAUUACCCUCCUCUUGAUCCUGUUUUGGAUUGAAGGGAGCUCUACACCAUUUGUUG
rnacentral:pre_miRNA from 2 species